UGACUAGCUAUACUGAGCAAAUAACAGUUAUUUCAUUAAAUCAACGUCACUACAUCACAAUAUCAUACUGUAUGUGUUGUACAAAAA